rnacentral:rRNA from 1 species
GGGUUGUGAGGUUAAGCGACUAAGCGUACACGGUGGAUGCCCUGGCAGUCAGAGGCGAUGAAGGGCGUGCUAAUCUGCGAUAAGCGCCGGUAAGGUGAUAUGAACCGUUAUAACCGGCGAUACCCGAAUGGGGAAACCCAGUGUGAUUCGUCACACUAUCAUUAACUGAAUCCAUAGGUUAAUGAGGCGAACCGGGGGAACUGAAACAUCUAAGUACCCCGAGGAAAAGAAAUCAACCGAGAUUCCCCCAGUAGCGGCGAGCGAACGGGGAGGAGCCCAGAGCCUGAAUCAGCAUGUGUGUUAGUGGAAGCGUCUGGAAAGGCGCGCGAUACAGGGUGACAGCCCCGUACACAAAAGCGCAUGUGCUGUGAGCUCGAUGAGUAGGGCGGGACACGUGGUAUCCUGUCUGAAUAUGGGGGGACCAUCCUCCAAGGCUAAAUACUCCUGACUGACCGAUAGUGAACCAGUACCGUGAGGGAAAGGCGAAAAGAACCCCGGCGAGGGGAGUGAAAAAGAACCUGAAACCGUGUACGUACAAGCAGUGGGAGCNNNNNNNNNNNNNNNNNNNNNNNNNNNNNNNNNNNNNNNNNNNNNNNNNNNNNGGCGUUAAGUUGCAGGGUAUAGACCCGAAACCCGGUGAUCUAGCCAUGGGCAGGUUGAAGGUUGGGUAACACUAACUGGAGGACCGAACCGACUAAUGUUGAAAAAUUAGCGGAUGACCUGUGGCUGGGGGUGAAAGGCCAAUCAAACCGGGAGAUAGCUGGUUCUCCCCGAAAGCUAUUUAGGUAGCGCCUCGUGAAUUCAUCUCCGGGGGUAGAGCACUGUUUCGGCUAGGGGGCCAUCCCGGCUUACCAACCCGAUGCAAACUGCGAAUACCGGAGAAUGUUAUCACGGGAGACACACGGCGGGUGCUAACGUCCGUCGUGAAGAGGGAAACAACCCAGACCGCCAGCUAAGGUCCCAAAGUCAUGGUUAAGUGGGAAACGAUGUGGGAAGGCCCAGACAGCCAGGAUGUUGGCUUAGAAGCAGCCAUCAUUUAAAGAAAGCGUAAUAGCUCACUGGUCGAGUCGGCCUGCGCGGAAGAUGUAACGGGGCUAAACCAUGCACCGAAGCUGCGGCAGCGACACUGUGUGUUGUUGGGUAGGGGAGCGUUCUGUAAGCCUGCGAAGGUGGCCUGUGAGGGUUGCUGGAGGUAUCAGAAGUGCGAAUGCUGACAUAAGUAACGAUAAAGCGGGUGAAAAGCCCGCUCGCCGGAAGACCAAGGGUUCCUGUCCAACGUUAAUCGGGGCAGGGUGAGUCGACCCCUAAGGCGAGGCCGAAAGGCGUAGUCGAUGGGAAACGGGUUAAUAUUCCCGUACUUGGUGUUACUGCGAAGGGGGGACGGAGAAGGCUAUGUUGGCCGGGCGACGGUUGUCCCGGUUUAAGCGUGUAGGUGUGUGUUCCAGGUAAAUCCGGUUCACUUUAACACUGAGGCGUGACGACGAGGCACUACGGUGCUGAAGCAACAAAUGCCCUGCUUCCAGGAAAAGCCUCUAAGCAUCAGGUAACAUCAAAUCGUACCCCAAACCGACACAGGUGGUCAGGUAGAGAAUACCAAGGCGCUUGAGAGAACUCGGGUGAAGGAACUAGGCAAAAUGGUGCCGUAACUUCGGGAGAAGGCACGCUGACACGUAGGUGAAGUGAUUUACUCAUGGAGCUGAAGUCAGUCGAAGAUACCAGCUGGCUGCAACUGUUUAUUAAAAACACAGCACUGUGCAAACACGAAAGUGGACGUAUACGGUGUGACGCCUGCCCGGUGCCGGAAGGUUAAUUGAUGGGGUCAGCGCAAGCGAAGCUCCUGAUCGAAGCCCCGGUAAACGGCGGCCGUAACUAUAACGGUCCUAAGGUAGCGAAAUUCCUUGUCGGGUAAGUUCCGACCUGCACGAAUGGCGUAAUGAUGGCCAGGCUGUCUCCACCCGAGACUCAGUGAAAUUGAACUCGCUGUGAAGAUGCAGUGUACCCGCGGCAAGACGGAAAGACCCCGUGAACCUUUACUAUAGCUUGACACUGAACAUUGAGCCUUGAUGUGUAGGAUAGGUGGGAGGCUUUGAAGUGUGGACGCCAGUCUGCAUGGAGCCGACCUUGAAAUACCACCCUUUAAUGUUUGAUGUUCUAACGUGGACCCGUUACCCGGGUUGCGGACAGUGUCUGGUGGGUAGUUUGACUGGGGCGGUCUCCUCCUAAAGAGUAACGGAGGAGCACGAAGGUUGGCUAAUCCUGGUCGGACAUCAGGAGGUUAGUGCAAUGGCAUAAGCCAGCUUGACUGCGAGCGUGACGGCGCGAGCAGGUGCGAAAGCAGGUCAUAGUGAUCCGGUGGUUCUGAAUGGAAGGGCCAUCGCUCAACGGAUAAAAGGUACUCCGGGGAUAACAGGCUGAUACCGCCCAAGAGUUCAUAUCGACGGCGGUGUUUGGCACCUCGAUGUCGGCUCAUCACAUCCUGGGGCUGAAGUAGGUCCCAAGGGUAUGGCUGUUCGCCAUUUAAAGUGGUACGCGAGCUGGGUUUAGAACGUCGUGAGACAGUUCGGUCCCUAUCUGCCGUGGGCGCUGGAGAACUGAGGGGGGCUGCUCCUAGUACGAGAGGACCGGAGUGGACGCAUCACUGGUGUUCGGGUUGUCAUGCCAAUGGCACUGCCCGGUAGCUAAAUGCGGAAGAGAUAAGUGCUGAAAGCAUCUAAGCACGAAACUUGCCCCGAGAUGAGUUCUCCCUGAGACUUAGAGUCUCCUGAAGGAACGUUGAAGACGACGACGUUGAUAGGCCGGGUGUGUAAGCGCAGCGAUGCGUUGAGCUAACCGGUACUAAUGAACCGUGAGGCUUAACCUUACAACGCCGAAG